GCCUUAUUAACUUUAGUUACUAGGAUAUAAGCCUAACAUUUUGAUAUUCGACAGGAAGCCUGAGAAACAACUGGCAAAAAUAAGUACUGCAGAAAGCACGCGCAUCACCCAAUUUCGGAAGGAUAAUGUAGUGAUGCAAAAAAUGAGAUCGUGCUCUUUGACGACCGCCAUCGGAAUACUGGUGAUUUAUAAUUACUGGCAAGUAAUAAUCAGAAUGUUUGGUGUUAGCAGCAGCAUCUCCUGUUGGAACAGUAAAUGAAAAAGCUGUUGUGGUCGAAUCGGUGGUAGUUGAAUCCACUGUAUGUGAAAGCAGUUUCACUGUCAUCGGAUAAUAAACUGUCUUUGGUAUCGGUGUGGGCUGGGCUUAUUUGCCGAACUGUAUUUAAAAAGCGGAUGUACACUGAAAAUUUAAACUGAACAAUAUACAAGACUUAUAGCAAGUGUUAUGGUUCAAUAUUAUUUAGUGGAAUGAUGGAGAAUGACUUCGCAUCUUGAUUAUUAAUAUGACAGUCAAGGACUUCGGUAUUUCUGUAUUACAGGUGAAAUUGAUGAAUCGCUGUAAGACGAACUACAGCGAAAGCAAAAGCCAAAAGGUCUUAAUCAUCAUCAUCCAUCAUCGCUUCUACUUUCGGGUCGCGGAGGCAGAAGCGUCAGAUAGUGCUUCCAACGUUCCCGAUCCUGUGCCAGAGUCUGAGCUUCGGCAAAAGACAACCAGAUUCUGGAGAAGACUCCUUCCAUAUAUUUGCACCAGGUUAAUCUUGACUGUCCUCUGGGUUUUCUGCCGGUCAGCUGAGCAAGAAGCAGUUGCUUCGCCUUCCUUUUUGGAAGCAUUCACAAAACGAGCCCAAACAAUCACAGUUCUGAUUUCUCAAUCUGAAGAAGCAGCGGCUGUACACCAAGGCUUUCGCGGAUAUCUGUAUACCGGACCAAAUGGAGACGCGUAAGGCCAGCGUCUCGUCAUAGAAAGCUCAUUUAGGCAGCUUGGACUUGGACUCGAAGCUUUUCAGUCAUGGUCCACGACUCAUUACCGUAGAUAAGCAUGGAGCUAAGAUUAUUUAAUAAAGAAAAUUACAGGCUCGAAAGCGAUCAUUUGCCGUACUAACUCUAGGUAUAAAAAUUGCCAACAGGCACUUCAUCAGUGCUCCACGAUUUGAGGAGAAUCUUCCGGGAAACCAGUGUUAUUUGGCCGUGACGAAGUACAGUUGAGAAGAACCUUAAAAGAAUUGAGGAAAAGGCUCUAUCAAGAAUAGGAAAUGCGAAUCAGUUUGAUUCAACACGAGAAAUUUCACCAGACCAAGAAUCGCAAAUUUGAACAGAACGAGAGGCCUCUCUUGAUUCGAUGGAUAGUGAUGAUUGGCCAUUUGAACUUGAUGGAGCAAUUUAUCUGGUUAAUUCACAUGAGCCAUACUCAUGUGUAUGAAUGACCGCACAAACUGAUGGCUACUUCUUAAAAGAAUAAGGGGCAGAACUGUAUGAGAAUAGGAAACUGAGAACACCAAAAUCAUUCAAAAUUGCUCCAGGAAAAGUCAUUCUAAAAGUGGGAGGGCACUACAGCAGGUUUCACCCUACCCACAGGAAGAUCCUUAGAAAUCUUGCUAAAGAUUCAACAUUUAUUGCGCACUCUCUAUAUCUUAACGAAAAAACUUAAAUAGCUAAAUUCUAAAAGUGCUUUAAAAACGUAUAUCUUCAUCUUCAUCUUCCAUUGCCGCUUCUCCUUUCGGGUCGCGGAGGCAGACGCGUCAGACAGUGCUUC
rnacentral:ncRNA from 1 species